rnacentral:rRNA from 1 species
GACGAACGCUGGCGGCGUGCCUAAUACAUGCAAGUAGAACGCUGAAGGAGGAGCUUGCUUCUCUGGAUGAGUUGCGAACGGGUGAGUAACGCGUAGGUAACCUGCCUUGUAGCGGGGGAUAACUAUUGGAAACGAUAGCUAAUACCGCAUAAUAGCAGUUAUUGCAUGAUAACUGUUUGAAAGGUGCAAUUGCCCCACUACCAGAUGGACCUGCGUUGUAUUAGCUAGUUGGUGGGGUAACGGCUCACCAAGGCGACGAUACAUAGCCGACCUGAGAGGGUGAUCGGCCACACUGGGACUGAGACACGGCCCAGACUCCUACGGGAGGCAGCAGUAGGGAAUCUUCGGCAAUGGACGGAAGUCUGACCGAGCAACGCCGCGUGAGUGAAGAAGGUGUUCGGAUCGUAAAGCUCUGUUGUAAGAGAAGAACGAGUGUGAGAGUGGAAAGUGCACACUGGGAGGGAAUCGUACCAGAAAGGCCCGGCAAACUACGG